GGGGAUAUGGCGGAAUUGGUAGACGCGUACGCUUCAGGGGCGUAUGGGCAAAAGCCCGUGAGAGUUCGAAUCUCUCUAUCCCCACCA
rnacentral:tRNA from 1 species